rnacentral:rRNA from 1 species
UACAGAGGCUCCAAGCAUUAUCCGGAAUCACUGGGCGUAAAGGGUGUGUAGGCGGCGCUGUUAGUCUCUCGUAAAAGACCGUGGGCUUAACCCAUGGAAUGCGGGGGAAACGGCAGUGCUUAGAGGACGCGAGAGGUAAGGGGAACUCAUGGUGUAGGGGUGAAAUCCGUUGAUAUCAUGGGGAACACCAAAUGCGAAGGCACCUUACUGGCGCGCUCCUGACGCUGAAACACGAAAGCGUGGGAAUCGAACGGG